rnacentral:rRNA from 1 species
GACAGAGGUCCCAAGCGUUAGGCGGAAUCACUGGGCUUAAAGCGUGUGUAGGCGGUUUUGUAAGUACCUUGUGAAAUCCCACGGCUCAACCGUGGAACUGCUUGGUAUACUGCUUAUCUUGGGUCAUCUAGGGGCGAGCGGAACAAACGGUGGAGCGGUGAAAUGCGUAGAUAUCGUUUGGAACGCCAAUGGUGAAAACAGCUCGCUGGGGAUGUACCGACGCUGAGACACGAAAGCCAGGGGAGCGAACGGG